rnacentral:tRNA from 1 species
CCCGCCUUAGCGUAGCCUGGUUUAACGCGGCCGGCUGUAGACCGGCAGAUCCCCCGUUCAAAUCGGGGAGGCGGGA